rnacentral:rRNA from 1 species
UAGUACCUGCCCAGUGCGUAUUAUCUUGUUAACGGCCGCCUUAGCGUGAGGGUGCUAAGGUAGCGAAAUUCCUUGCCUUUUAAUUGUAGGCCAGCAUGAAUGGUUUGACGAGGGCCUCACUGUCUCUUAGUUCUAUGUUGAAAUUGUAGUGUAGGUGAAGAUACCUUCAUAAAAAAGUAAGACAAAAAGACCCCGUGCAACUUUGAAAAUUAAGCUAGAUUAAAUGGCAAAAGAUUUUUAGGUGGGGCGCCAAAAGAGGAAACUAUAACCUCUGCUGUUUAAGCUAAUUCUUACUGGAGUUGACCUGACCUAAGUCGAUCAAAGGAGAAGUUACGCCGGGGAUAACAGGCCAAUUCUUUAGUAAAGCUCGUAUUAACUAAAGGGCUUGGCACCUCGAUGUUGAAUCAGGGAUUAUAGCUUCAAGGCGUA